rnacentral:rRNA from 1 species
GGAUUAGAUACCCUGGUAGUCCACGCCGUAAACGAUGUCUACUAGUUGUCGGUUGUCUUGUACGACUGGUAACGCAGCUAACGCGAUAAGUAGACCGCCUGGGGAGUACGGUCGCAAGAUUAAAACUCAAAGGAAUUGACGGGGACCCGCACAAGCGGUGGAUGAUGUGGAUUAAUUCGAUGCAACGCGAAAAACCUUACCUACCCUUGACAUGGCAGGAAUCCUUGAGAGAUCAGGGAGUGCUCGAAAGAGAACCUGCACACAGGUGCUGCAUGGCUGUCGUCAGCUCGUGCCG